UCCCAUUCCGGCUGUUCAUUCCCAUUCCGGGUGUUCAUUCCGGGUGUUCAUUCCGGGUGUUCAUUCCCAUUCCGGGUGUUCGUUCCCAUUCCGGGUGUUCAUUCCCAUUCCUGGUGUUCAUUCCCAUUCCGGCUGUUCAUUCCGGGUGUUCAUUCCGGGUGUUCAUUCCCAUUCCGGGUGUUCAUUCCGGGUGUUCAUUCCCAUUCCGGCUGUUCAUUCCCGGUGUUCCUUCCCAUUCCCAUUGUUUAUUCCGGGUGUUCAUUCCGGCUGUUCAUUCCCAUUCCGGGUGUUCAUUCCCAUUCCGGGUGUUCAUUCCCAUUCCGGGUGUUCAUUCCCAUUCCGGGUGUUCGUUCCCAUUCCCGGUGUUCUUUCCCAUUCCGGGUGUUCAUUCCCAUUCCCGGUGUUCAUUCCGGGUGUUCAUUCCCAUUCUGGCUGUUCAUUCCGGCUGUUCAUUCCCAUUCCCGGUAUUCAUUCCCAUUCCCGGUGUUCAUUCUCAUUCCAGGUGUUCAUUCCCAUUCCGGGUGUUCAUUCCGGGUGUUCAUUCCCAUUCCGGCUGUUCAUUCCUGGUGUUCAUUCCCAUUCCCGGUGUUCAUUCCCAUUCCGGGUGUUCAUUCCGGCUGUUCAUUCCGGGUGUUCAUUCCCAUUCCGGGUGUUCAUUCCAGGUGUUCAUUCCUAUUCCGGGUGUUCAUUCCGGGUGUUCAUUCCAGGUGUUCAUUCCCAUUCCGGGUGUUCAUUCCGGGUGUUUAUUCCGGGUGUUCAUUCCCAUUCCCAGUGUUUAUUCCCAUUCCGGGUGUUCAUUCCGGGUGUUCAUUCCCAUUCCGGGUGUUCAUUCCGGGUGUUCAUUCCGGGUGUUCAUUCCCAUUCCGGCUGUUCAUUCCGGGUGUUCAUUCCGGGUGUUUAUUUUCCGGCAGCUGAUCCAGUUCCUGAUCUCCCUGGUUCAAUCCAAUCGCAUC
rnacentral:lncRNA from 1 species